rnacentral:misc_RNA from 1 species
GAUGAAGAACGUAGCGAAAUGCCAUACUUGGUGUGAAUUGCAGAAUCCCGUGAACCAUCGAGUCUUUGAACGCAAGUUGCGCCCGAAGCCAUCAGGUUGAGGGCACGUCUGCCUGGGCGUCACAUAUCGUUGCCCAAUGCCUAUUGCAGUGCAAUAGGAAUUUCUAGGGCGAAUGAUGGCUUCCCGUGAGCGUUGUUGCCUCGCGGUUGGUUGAAAAUCGAGUCCUUGGUAGGGUGUGCCAUGGUAGAUGGUGGUCGAGUUAGAACGAUACCGAUCAUGUGCAUGCUCCCCAAAAUAUGGCCUCUAUGACCCACACGCGUCUUUUGGCGCUCAUGACGAGACCUCAGGUCAGGCGGGGCUACCCGCUGAAUUUAAGCAUAUCAAUAAGCGGAGGA